rnacentral:lncRNA from 1 species
UUAGAAUCAUCAUCGCGAGAUCACAGAAACAACAGUUAAGCAGAGCUCGACAUUUGGAAAAACUAGCUCGACAUUUAAAAAGGCAGCUCGACAUUUCACGAUAACUCGACACCUUUACAGUACUCAACAUUUGUUCGUCAGCAAGUCACAAAAGCACAUUUAUACUUGUCCUAAUUCAUAAAUUAAUACGACGGCGAAGCCGCCUAGGAACAUCAGCC